CCCCAAACCGGAGGGUUCGGCGAGAGGCCCCCGGCAGGUCCCCGACUCCGAGGACAGCUCGGGGACCGGCGUCUCCUCGGCCAGGACGUCGGAACACUCCCUCAACGCCGAGGCCGGGGUCUCCGGGGACGAGCUCGCGGGCCCCGGCCGGCCGGCCGGAUCCGGCCCGGACGCCCCCGCCGACCAGGAAGCCCCCUCCCACGGGGCAGGGGCGGAAAUGACCCCCUGACCAUCCGCGGCAUCUGGAAGGAGCCCCCGCAGACGAGGUCACCGAGGCACCGAGAAGUGAAGUGACUUGCCCACGGUCCCACAGCUGACAACUGGCACCCCGCUUCUCACCGUGGAUUUUGCGCUGUCGAUUUUCUACGGCGGUGGGCCGUGAUUUAUUGGAAUGUCCGUCUCCCGCUGGGGAUGAUGAGCUCCUUGUGGGGAAAGGAUCGUGUCCCUCCCCACUCUGUC